CGGUCUCCGCGUCUUGAUGGUAGUGGUCCCCUGGGCCCAGCUGCUUUCUCUUUAUCUCUUUGUCUUGUGUCUUUAUUUAUUACAAUCUCUCAUCUCCACACACAGGGAGAACACUUGCUAAGCCCCGUAGGGCUGGGCCCUACAGGCUGCAGUGCUUCCCAGCAGAUAGAUCUUCUCAGUAGGGGAAGCAUAUUAUAGAGUAGCAGCUGAAAGCAUGGUACCUGGCAUCUAUAGCCACACGACCUGAGUUUGCGACCCAGCUCCAUAGCUACAAGACCAAGAGAAGAAUCUUCAAGUGGACUUCAGGCGGAUCCUACUCCAUGUACUUUCACAAGAGAUCUAGUCCCUUCCUUGCAUUCGAGGCCUCUCCAGCAUCUGAACAAGGAAAUAACAUUGGGACUGCUAUCUGCUGAAGUCUCUGCUGCAGCAAAUGGUACUGUGGCCACCAGUGGGAGGGGCAUACUCUACAAUCUCCUCCGAAAAUGUGAGCAUUCUCAAAAGCACCCUUCAUGCCAUUUGGGUAUAAAUGAAGAGAAAGGAAGAAUAUCGAUCACACAGUGCUUGAAAUUUCCUGGAAGCUGUUACUUCAUGCUUAUUACAUAGUCACCAUAUGACCUUUUAUUAGUUGUUUGCAGGCCAUUUCUCCAACUAAAUUUUAAGCUCUGGUGGUAAAGGGUCAGGGUCCUGCCAUUUUAUUUUCAUACCCUGCACCCUUGCAAAAUUCUAGGCUCAUACAGGAGCUUACUAAAGCUUGCCAGAAUAUUUGAAUUAACUAACAUAACUAACUUCAUAAUUAACCACAAAUUCAUAUUAAUCAUGCUAAAUGAGGGAAGAUGGCAUUGAGCCAUGUUGACAGCUAGCCUACACAGAGCAUCACUGUGUGACACAGAGUUUCUAUGGGGACUCCAAGGAGGAGGCUGGGAGCUCUGAAAACCCCUUUCAGAGGCAGAAUACUUGAAGGAGGAAAAUAUGUUUAAAUGGGGCAAAGGGAGAUUGUCAAGAGAAGAUAAUACCCCGUUUUUAAAAGCCCUGUCCUAAACCACUCAGGCUGCCCAAGAAUGGAGCAGGGCAUCUCACAAAGCCACAGCUGUCCUUGCUGGGCAGAUGAAAGCUGAGUCUGAAGGAUCAUCUGCAGGAAGAGCUGUGAGUCCUCUACGGCCGUGUCUAAAUUUAGGUGUCUCUGAUUCAAAGUGGCAAGCCCAACAUACCCCGCACACCAUCCCCUCUCCUUGGAAUAAAGAACAACAGGAGACCACGCCCCAAGAAAAGUAUACAUGAUGGUGCAAGUACAAAUUGGCCACUUGGCUCACCUCAGGGAGCGUCCUUCCCAGGCCCCUUCCACAUUUCUCUGUGGUUCGGUUUCCAAAGAGUCUGGCUUAAGCACUGCCCUCCCUGCUACCCUCCUGCCUCACUUCUAGAAACAGUUCCUGAAUAGAAAAACAUUCCAGUUUCUACCUAAGGUACCAGACAUGUGAAUAUAUUAGUUUUCAAUUGCUACCUAACAAGUUGCCACAAACUAAGUGUCUUAAAACAUUUAUGUAUUAUCUCAUGGUUUCAUGAGUUAGAAGUCCAGGCAAGUGGAGCUGAGCUGCUUAGGGCCUCACAAAGCUAACAUCAUGGUGUUAGCUGGGGCAUCAGUCUCAUGUGGAGCUCAGAGUGUUCCCAGACUCACUCAGAUUGAUGACAGAAUUUUGAUUCUUGCAGUUGUAGAACUGAGGCCACAUCUUCUGGCUGGAUGUCAGUUGGGGGCUGCUUUCAGCUCCCAAAGGCCACCCUAAGGUCCUAUCCAUGUGGUCCCCUCCACUGAAAGUUCUAGUGCCUGCUCUGUUUCUGUCCCUUUUAAGGACUCACCUAUCAGGCCAGGCCCACCAUGGAUAAUAGGAUAAUCUUCCUUUCCCCAUAAAGACGAGCAUAAUCACCAGGAGUGAUAUUCAUCAUAUUCACAGGUCGUGCCUAUCCUUAAGGGGAGAGAGAUGAUACAGGGUAUCUAUAUCAAGGAGCAGGAAUCUUGGGGACCAUCUUAGAAUUCUACUGCCACAGUGAGUACAGUAUAUCUAAAAUGUACUUUGCGUUUUAUCUUGCUUAAACACUUUCUUAUAUAUUGGCCCAUGUUAGCAAGUUAAGUUAAAAAAAAAAAAAAAGUUAAGUAAAAACUAUAAAUAGCACUUAAAGGAGAAGGAAAGAGGCAGAGGUCCAGAACUCCAGUUUGCCAUUUGCUCCCUCCUCCCCAUAUCAGCCAACCUCAGUUGUUUGCAGUAGAGAAAUGCACAUGCCUGAGAUCCCGCUGACCAAAAUGUCACCCAGCACUUCUGUUUAUUAUUCAUUGGGCAUUGUUGAAUUACACUGGUCAUUUCACCCAUUAUGUGCUAAAUGAUGUGCUAAAUCUGGAGCAUGGGGAGAAAACAGGGAAACCCUGGGGGAAGAUUGCUUUGGGAUGGGCUGACCUGGCCCCCCUUGGCUGCACGUCUGGGUUCAGGCCAUCCUCCCAUCUCCCCUCCCUAACCCUGCAGAGAGUAUCUGCACUUCAGGUUAGUGCUGGCAGCUCUAGAAUUUCCUGUACAUGGGAAUAUACAGGAUUCACCCCCUCUGUGUAAGGGUUCUUCCACUGAGUGUGAAGUUGUGUGAUCCUCUCUGUUGUUGCCUGUUCUCAAGAUUCGUUCCCUUUAUUACCUGAGUAAUGUGAUUGCACCACAGUUGGUUUUCAUUGUCUCAUAGAUGGACACCUGAGAUAUUUCCAAGUUGUGCCUAUCAUGAAUAAAGCUGCUGUGAACAUUCUAGUAUAGGACAAAAGGAUGAAAAGAAGUUUGAAGUCUGUCUUCUGUCUUUUAAUCUUAUUUAUAAUUUUUAAAUAAAAGGUUUCUAAUUUCAAUGG
rnacentral:lncRNA from 10 species